GAGUGGGCAGACACCUGUGUGCGUGUGUGUGUCCGUGUGUGUGUGUGUCUGUUUGUGUGUGCAGCAAGCCAUGCGUUCUCCUUCUCCCUCUUCCUUCUCCUGUCCCCUCCCUCCCUUUCCCCCCUUUUUCCCUACACGCCAGCAUUCCCUGCCUGCGAGGGGUCAUUUGCAUACAGAGGGCUGAAAAGCCUGCGCGUUGUCAACAGGCAGGUGAAAAGGCGACUUCGGGUUUUUGAGCGAGCGGGACGGUUGGCGGUGGCACCACACCCAGACCCCAAGUGCUCUCCAAACAAAACACAGCCUCGGGGGCUGAAACAAAGGAGAGGAGAAGCAGCAGCAGCAGCAGCACCUGUGUGGCGGACUUUUCCAGCGGCGCACAACACCGGGAGAGACGGCCACAGAGAGGUUUUCAUCUCCGCGCGAGAGGGAGCGGGACCGAGGACUUACUGAAGAACUCCUCAAAAGGCUACACAUCAACAAAAAGGGAGGAAAGAGGAGGAAAGAAGAAAGGAGGAGAAAAAAGAAGAAGAGAAGGAGGUGGAGGAGACAAUGCAGGCGACGCAGGUGUGGCACACGAAGGUGGUGCCGUCGGAGGACGACGCGGACAGGGGCCGGGACAGGCCGGAGUGCUCCAUCUGCUACAACACCUACGACAACGUCUUCAAGACGCCCAAGAUGCUGGAGUGCGCGCACACCUUCUGCCUGGAGUGCCUGUCCCGCGUGAUGGCGCUCUCCGCGGAGGACGAGACGGGGGAGAUCCCGUGCCCCCUGUGCCGGCACCCGACCUCGGUCCCGCAGAGCGGCACGCCGGCCCUGGCCACCAGCCGGGAGGUGCUGAGCCAGCUGCCGGCCCACCAGCGGCGCGAGGAGCGCGUGUGGCUGGAGGGCAAGAAGCUGUGCUACUCCAGCCCGCCGCACGCCGGCAGCUCCACCACCUGCAUCUGCAUCGACAUCGGCGGCAGCGGCAAGCAGGAGCGGGCCGCCGCGCUGGCCCCGCCCCACCGCGCGGGGCCCCUGGGCCGCCUGGCGGACUGGAAGCGGCUGCUGCUGAUGGCGGUGCUGGCGGCCAUGCUGAUCGGCAUCGUGCUCUGGCCGCUGUACUGCAUCACCGACGGCAACGCCACGUGCUGGGACGGCCGGCCCUCCCCGGGGCUGCACUCCACCACGGCCCCGCCCACGCCCAUGAAGCUGCCGGUGUGAAAGCCGAGGGAAGGACGCGACGAAACCCUCACGAGCGCUCACAGCGCUCCCCCCCCCAUCUCUCCCCACUGCCACAGCCAAACCUGGGCUCUCCACAAGAGGCGUGAGAACAUGAGAAAGAGGAGGGGGGGGGGGAGAGAGACAGAGAAAGACAGAAACAAAGAAAGAGAGAGGUUUGGGAAAGCCUGACUACUGCAGAAAGGGAGAGUCAGGAUUCCAGAAGACCAACGGACUCUGAUAUUGCUCUGGUCUCACGGUAUUGGCCACAGACUUUCAAGCACAUGGUAAUCACACACCCCUGAAAACACUGUUUGUAAAGCAGUUGGUAUCACUUGACUUGAAAGAAGGAGCUUUGCUGAGAGAAGUGGCGAUGUAAUCCUAUCGAGACUCAACAGGUGCCAUGAAAGCACUUCACCAGAACCAGACCUCACACAGUGAACAAAUGCUACCACAGAAUUACAAAGAAAACAAAUCCAUAUAUGAUAUGAUAUUGCAUGAACUACAAGGGGAGGGCUAAAUCAUAUUGUAUAUUGCAUAAUGUGCUGAUGUAAAGUGAAAUCUGGAAUUGUAAGUUGUUAAAUUUCAGGUCUUAAAUUUCCAGAGCAACUAUGCAAGAAACGAACAGUGCUUUACAAUUCACUGCAUGAAUGUGGGUGAAAUGCAAUAUGCAGAAGGAAAAAAAAAAAAAUAGAAAGACCAGCAAAAAAUAAGUACUUCAGCGUGUAAAGCCGAAUCCAGCCGGCUCAAGCUUGGUCCUGUUAAAUCGAAAUGUCUGCAGAGUUUUUUUUCUUGUCCCAGUUAGGGGGAUUUCAGUACCUGAUUAGACUGUUCAGUCUUCACAAAUCGGUUCUAGCUUUCCGCCACAGUGUUAUGCCUGACGGUCGGUCUGCCGCUUAGCUGCAUAUCGCACCGCUACAAGGCCAGAGGGGAGGGAAAAAAACCACAUUUAUUACCAACAGCGCAACUGUGAUGAACAAGAGAAGCGGUGCUAAGUUUCCAUUCGUACUUCCUUAUCAGUGUUACUCCGCUGGUAUAGAGCCGUGUGCUAGAAAGAGACAUUCCGUUUCUAAUUUUAUCUUCUCAACGUUGCCAGGAACAAACACCUGUGCCAGGGUGCACAACAAGGGCUGAUCCGUUUCAGGAUUUUGUGCCAACUUCUGCUCUUUAUGAUUUAAUUGGCACAAUAUUUAUCUUGAUUUGUACAAGCACCAGCCACAGCCACGGCCACAGACUGCAAGUGUAUACUAAAGAGUUUACUGGGCUCAGGCACUGGAGUGAACCAGCAUAGUUUACAGAGCCGUCAUAUAACUAAACCAAGGUAACUGGUUGGAACAAGCACCAGCACACAGACCAGGGCCAGAGCUGUGCACCCACGCUCUAUGGAGGCAAACACUCCUCAGAUUGCCAGACAGACCUCCUCCAGCACCUUCUGAAUCAGUGUGAGCUCACUGUUGAUGCCAACUUCUUUGUAUGGUGAGCACCACCGUACCUUUGGAGGGCCACUGGCACUCACACAUGCUGAAAAAAACCUAAACCCUUGGACAAAUACUAUGCACAUUUCACUGAUAUUGUAUUCCAAGAAACAUCUGCCAUACAAUAUGGGAAAAUAAAUGUAAAAAAAAUAAAUAUUUUGCAUUGUUGCAUUGGGCAAAGCCCAGUGAGCUUUUCUUCAGAGCCAGUGCUGUGACGGUCUUAUAAUAACACUCAUGGCAUUACAAUACAUUUACGAAUACCGCAAAUCCGUUAUGAUAAUUAUAAUAUAAACCACACUCAGAACAUUUGCCACUGACUAUCGGACAGAAAAUAAGCUAAAUAAACACACACUGUGUAUAGGCACAUUAUUAUCACCAGUAGUAAUACGAAUAGCAUGUUGCACAAAACUCGGAGGCCAACUUACAGCUUACCUUACAAGUGUAUUCCCCUACUCAGGUACAGGUACUAGGGACCUGGUCUCUACCGACCUUCCAAGAGCAGAAAGACUGCCGUGGAAUAAAAGCAAGUUUGGGACCAAAAAUGUUCUGUAUCACCCCUUGUGUCAGCAUAUACAUUGCAUAUGAACUGUGGCAGUGUAGUAUAAUGGGUAAGGCGUGGGUCUUUGAUUCCCAGGUAGGACACUGCUGUUGUGUCCUUGAGCAAGAUACUUAACAUGCAUUGCUUCAGUGUAUAUCCAACUGUAUAAAUGGAUUGCAGUGUAAAUGCAGUGCAAAAUCUGUGCAAGUCGCUCGGCAUAAGAGUGUCUGCUAAAAUGCCGGUAAUGUAAUAAUAAACUAGAGUUAAAUUAGAAAAUUUACCAGGGGGUAACCAGCGUAAGCCUGCUGGGGAAAUGUUUACUUUGCGGCAGGACACACCUGGUGACAUUUUAUUCCCAGCCUGGGAAGGUUUUAUAGCUGGAGAUAAAGAGCUGAUGUUGACAGUGCUCUGAUGGCUGGCCUCCAGGCAGUGCUGCUGACAGGUGCACAAAGUCUACAGCACACGUUUCUCAGGUAAACGUGGACGGGGAAACAAAAAGAGAGCGAAAGUCUGACCUUAACCGCGUUCUAAUUUUAGACCGCGCUGUUCAGAUGUUGGCCUACUUUCUGGUCUUUAAACCAGAGUGCUGUUUAUCGCAAUUAUUUUCUGUUCUUUCCCCGUGUCUUCCCGCAAUCUGCGCUUUACGAUAACGAAGAAGCUGUUAAAUAAUUAGCCCCUGAGGUGAAGUCCCAGAGGACAAUAUCACUUUUGGGAAAUGGAAACUCUCACAGGAAGCUGGGUAGAAAGACAGACAUUUUGCAACAGGUGAAAUUUCAUACCCUGAUUCUGUGAUGAAAGUUCUGGUCCACAACAAAGUUUUGAGCUGCCACCAUUCCAGAUAGAGACUAUGCUGCGAUUUUGAAACAUAUGGUAUAUUUCAAUGAAACAAAAAAAAUAUACCAUAAUAUUCCAUGUUAAA